rnacentral:rRNA from 1 species
GACGAACGCUGGCGGCGCGCUUAACACAUGCAAGUCGAACGGAAAGGCCUGCUUUCCCUUGUGGAUUGCGGGUACUCGAGUGGCGAACGGGUGAGUAACACGUGAGUUAUCUGCCCCCAACUUUGGUAUAAGCCUGGGAAACUGGGUCUAAUUCCCGCUAGUACUGCAGGGUGGUUCCUGUGGUGGAAAACGAUUUUCUUGUGGUUGGGGAUGAGCUCGCGGCCUAUCAGCUUGUUGGUGGGGUAAUGGCCUACCAAGGCGGCGACGGGUAGCCGGCCUGGGGGGGUGGGCGGGAACAUUGGAACGGAGAGACGGCGCAGAAGAUUACGGGAGGAAGCAGAGGGGAAGAAGGCACGAGGAGCGGAAGACUAAGGGAGGGAGGCGGCGGGGGGGAUGACGGGCGUCGGAUGGUAAACUCCGGUCGGCCGAGAGGAAGCGACCUGGUUGGAAGGGGGGUGACGGUAGUGGUAGAAGAAGCACCGGCUAACUACGUG